rnacentral:rRNA from 1 species
AGAGUUUGAUCCUGGCUCAGAAUCAACGCUGGCGGCGCGCUUAACACAUGCAAGUCGAACGAGAAAGGGAGCAAUCCUGAGUAAAGUGGCGUACGGGUGAGUAACACGUGGAUCAUAUGCCUUUUAGUGGGGAAUAACUUUGGGAAACCGAAGCUAAUACCGCAUAAUCCCGAGAGGGGAAAGCAGCAAUGCGCUGAAAGAGUAGUCCGCGGCUGAUUAGCUAGUUGGUGAGGUAAUGGCUCACCAAGGCUGUGAUCGGUAGCCGGCCUGAGGGGGCACACGGCCACACUGGCACUGAAACACGGGCCAGACUCCUACGGGAGGCAGCAGUGGGGAAUCUUGCACAAUGGACGAAAGUCUGAUGCAGCGACGCCGCGUGAGCGAUGAAGCCCUUCGGGGUGUAAAGCUCUUUCGACAGGAACGAUAAUGACGGUACCUGGAGAAGAAGCUGCGGCUAACUACGUGCCAGCAGCCGCGGUAAUACGUAGGCAGCAAGCGUUGUUCGGAAUUACUGGGCGUAAAGCGUGCGUAGGCGGUGCUACAAGUUCGGUGUGAAAUCUCCCGGCUCAACUGGGAGGGUGCGCCGAAAACUGUAGUGCUCGAGUGUGGGAGAGGUAAGCGGAAUUCCUGGUGUAGCGGUGAAAUGCGUAGAUAUCAGGAGGAACACCGGCGGUGUAGACGGCUUACUGGACCAUAACUGACGCUGAGGCACGAAAGUGUGGGUAGCAAACAGGAUUAGAUACCCUGGUAGUCCACACCCUAAACGAUGCAUACUUGGUGUGAGCCAUUCAUUUGGUUCG